AACUUUUAACAACGGAUCUCUUGGUUCUCGCAUCGAUGAAGAACGUAGCAAAGUGCGAUAACUAGUGUGAAUUGCAUAUUCAGUGAAUCAUCGAGUCUUUGAACGCAACUUGCACUCAUUGGUAUUCCAAUGAGUACGCCUGUUUCAGUA
rnacentral:rRNA from 5 species